rnacentral:rRNA from 1 species
UUAAAGGAAUUGACGGAAGGGCACCACCAGAAGUGGAGCCUGCGGCUUAAUUUGACUCAACACGGGAAACCUCACCAGGCCCAGACACUGGAAGGAUUGACAGAUUGAGAGCUCUUUCUUGAUUCGGUGGGUGGUGGUGCAUGGCCGUUCAUAGUUGGUGGAUCGAUUUGUCUGGUUAAUUCCGAUAACGAACGAGACUCUAUCCUACUAACUAGGCGAUUCCGGCAUCCUUGGCGCAGCCGGCGGCAACAAAUCUUCUUAGGGGGACAGGCAGCGUCUAGCUGCACGAGACUGAGCAAUAACAGGUCUGAGAUGCCCUUAGAUGUUCUGGGCUGCACGCGCGCUACACUGAAGGGAUCAGCGUGUGUUUUCCUAGCCCGAGAGGGCCGGGUAACCCGUUGAACCUCCUUCGUGCUAGGGAUUGGGGCUUGCAAUUCUUCCCCACGAACGAGGAAUUCCCAGUAAGCGCGAGUCAUAAGCUCGCGUUGAUUACGUCCCUGCCCUUUGUACACACCGCCCGUCGCUACUACCGAUUGAAUGAUUUAGUGAGGUCUUCGGACCAGUGCGCGGCCACUUCGCGGUGGCCGAUGCUACCGGGAAGAUGACCAAACUUGAUCAUUUAGAGGAAGUAAAAGUCGUAACAAGGUUUCC